rnacentral:rRNA from 1 species
GAUGAACGCUGGCGGCGUGCUUAACACAUGCAAGUCGAACGAAGCACUUUUGAUUCUUCGGAAGAGGAAGUGACUGAGUGGCGGACGGGUGAGUAACGCGUGGGUAACCUGCCUUAUACAGGGGGAUAACAGUUAGAAAUGACUGCUAAUACCGCAUAAGCCACUAGAAUCGCAUGAUUUAGUCGGCAAAGAUUUAUCGGUAUAAGAUGGACCCGCGUCUGAUUAGCUAGUUGGUGAGGUAAUGGUCCACCAAGGCGACGAUCAGUAGCCGGCUUGAGAGAGUGAACGGCCACAUUGGGACUGAGACACGGCCCAAACUCCUACGGGAGGCAGCAGUGGGGAAUAUUGCACAAUGGGGGAAACCCUGAUGCAGCAACGCCGCGUGAAGGAAGAAGUAUUUCGGUAUGUAAACUUCUAUCAGCAGGGAAGAAAAUGACGGUACCUGACUAAGAAGCCCCGGCUAACUACGUGCCAGCCGCCGCAGUAA